rnacentral:lncRNA from 1 species
AAGACUCCUUUAAGGCAGCUGAUGAAGGCAGGUUGGCGGCAUUUGACAUUGCUCUUCCAGAGUGGGGGUCUUCUAACCAACUCAAGGCCACUGUUUGGUGGUCUUGGGUAAGAUCUGUGAGAACUCCCUGGAUUACCAGACAGAGACUCUUAUUUACUUCUCUUACUUUCUCCCAAACAGUCUCUGCCUCUAUGAUGAGCUGCCAGGAGCUUGGGGAGGGGUGACACAAGCACUCCUAUAGCCACCACCACUGGGAGUGUGCUAGGUCCUAUCUGAAGCCAUUACAACACUGGGUCUUGCCCAAGGCCUGUGGUGACAACUGCCUAGCUAUCACUGAUGUUCUCUUGAGGCCCAAGGGCUCUUCAGUCAUGAGGUGGUAAACCCAGCCAGGCUUAUGUCCUCCUCUUCAAGGCAGUGAGAUCCCCCCUGUCCCAGGGCAGGUCCAGAAAUCCAGAAA